rnacentral:rRNA from 1 species
AGAGUUUGAUCUAUCGGCUCAGGAUGAACGCUGGCGGCGUGCUUAACACAUGCAAGUCGAACGAGAACCAUUGGAUCGAGGAUUCGUCCAAGUGAAGGUGGGGAAAGUGGCGGACGGGUGAGUAACGCGUGAGCAAUCUGCCUUGGAGUGGGGAAUAACGGCUGGAAACAGCCGCUAAUACCGCAUGAUACAGCUGGGAGGCAUCUCCCUGGCUGUCAAAGAUUUAUCGCUCUGAGAUGAGCUCGCGUCUGAUUAGCUGGUUGGCGGGGUAACGGCCCACCAAGGCGACGAUCAGUAGCCGGACUGAGAGGUUGGCCGGCCACAUUGGGACUGAGACACGGCCCAGACUCCUACGGGAGGCAGCAGUGGGGAAUAUUGGGCAAUGGGCGCAAGCCUGACCCAGCAACGCCGCGUGAAGGAAGAAGGCUUUCGGGUUGUAAACUUCUUUUCUUGGGGAC